GGGGCUGACUUUGGUUUUGACAGCAGGUAGAAUGGUAGUGUAAGCAUGCCGAGCGUUGUACGUAGUGCUCGUAAAAGAAAAUGUGCGAACGAAUUAAAUGGCGAAAAUUCUUUUGCUCUCGCUGCGUAAUUAGCCUUGUCUAAUUUGCUUAAUCCGCACACGGAGAUUGUGCGGACGAGAUGUCCCACAGGAAGCAUUAGUCCUGUUGCGUUCUGGUUCGGGGCACUGGAAAUACAGGAAUAGGAGAGCGGGCGUUCCGACUGCCCUCCGAAAAUUUAGGAACUAGGGGUGGUAUUGGGUGUCUCUGUCCGUUGCCAUCUCGACAACUAAUCAGAGGCUAAGCAUGUAGAAAGCAGUAGUGUUCCUUGUUUGGACGCGGGUUCGAUUCCCGCCAGCUCCACA
rnacentral:tmRNA from 1 species